UCCUCUGCUCGAUCAACAUACAUCGAGCGAGAUAGCAAAUAACUUUUGAUGUGAAUGAAAUAGAAUUAGUGACAAUUAAACACACCUGUUUGAUCUAGCAAAGGUAGCGAAUAAUUUCUGGCGGGACGACUGAAUCCGGAAUAUGAAAAAAUCAAGAAAAUGUAUCUCCCACUUGAACGAAUCACGGAACUCAAGUUCUGUGAAACAUUUCAAACUAAACAAGAUGGCACCAAUGCGAUUGGAUUUUUAUGGAGGAAAGUACAUUUAUUUGAGACCCUUAUUCUCAGUUAAGUGGUUCAUCUUUUCAUUUUCGAAUAAUUGAGGAAUUUGCAAGGUGAAAAUAUUCAGAAUAUUUUUCAAAAUUACCUGUGUUAUGUACACUGUUAAUUUGUUUUUUUAAUAUUCAUUUUUUUUCAUACUUUUCAGUAAUUGGAAAUUCCAAAAGUUGUUUUCUCAAUCUUCAAAAUAAACUAUGUUUGUCACUUA